rnacentral:rRNA from 1 species
AGAGUUUGAUCCUGGCUCAGAUUGAACGCUGGCGGCAUGCCUAACACAUGCAAGUCGAACGGGCUGUAGUAAUACAGCUAGUGGCGGACGGGUGAGGAAUACAUAGGAAUUUGCCUUUAGGUGGGGGAUAGCCCGGGGAAACUCGGAGUAAUACCGCAUGAUGUCGCAAGACCAAAGUCGGGGAUCGCAAGACCUGGCGCCUUUAGAGAAGCCUAUGUCUGAUUAGCUAGUUGGCAGGGUAAUGGCCUACCAAGGCGACGAUCAGUAACUGGUCUGAGAGGACGAUCAGUCACACCGGAACUGAGACACGGUCCGGACUCCUACGGGAGGCAGCAGUGGGGAAUAUUGGACAAUGGGCGAAAGCCUGAUCCAGCAAUGCCGCGUGUGUGAAGAAGGCCUUCGGGUUGUAAAGCACUUUGAUCUGGGAAGAAAAAGCUUUGGCUAAUAUCCAAAGCCUUGACGGUACCAGAAGAACAAGCACCGGCUAACUCUGUGCCAGCAGCCGCGGUAAUACAGAGGGUGCGAGCGUUAAUCGGAUUUACUGGGCGUAAAGCGUGUGUAGGCGGUUAGCUAAGUCGGAUGUGAAAGCCCUGGGCUCAACCUGGGAAUUGCAUUCGAUACUGGUUGGCUAGAGUACGGUAGAGGGCGGCGGAAUUCCGGGUGUAGCGGUGAAAUGCGUAGAUAUCCGGAGGAACACCGAUGGCGAAGGCAACCGCCUGGGCUAACACUGACGCUCAUGCACGAAAGCGUGGGGAGCAAACAGGAUUAGAUACCCUGGUAGUCCACGCCCUAAACGAUGGGUACUAGGUGUCGGGGGUUCGACCCUCUCGGUGCCGCAGCUAACGUGUUAAGUACCCCGCCUGGGGACUACGAUCGCAAGGUUAAAACUUAAAGGAAUUGACGG